rnacentral:rRNA from 1 species
CACCGCGGUUAUACGAGAGGCCCACGUUGAUAAACACCGGCGUAAAGCGUGGUUACGUUAGAGUUCAUACUAAAGCCAAACAUCUUCAAAGCUGUUAUACGCAACCGAAGACAGGAAGUUCAACCACGAAAGUAGCUUUAUUAAACCCGAACCCACGAGAGCUAAGGAA